GAUGAACGCUGGCGGCGUGCCUAAUACAUGCAAGUCGAGCGAACGGACGAGAAGUUUGCUUCUCUGACGUUAGCGGCGGACGGGUGAGUAACAUGUGGAUAACCUCCCUAUAAGACUGGGAUAACUUCGGGAAACCGUAGCUAAUACCGGAUAAUAUUUUGAACCGCAUGGUUCAAAAGUGACAGACGGUCUUGCUGUCACUUAUAGAUGGAUCAGCGCUGCAUUAGCUAGUUGGUAAGGUAACGGCUUACCAAGGAAACGAUGCAUAGCCGACCUGAGAGGGUGACCGGCCACACUGGAACUGAGACACGGUCCAGACUCCUACGGGAGGCAGCAGUAGGGAAUCUUCCACAAUGGGCGAAAGCCUGACGGAGCAAUGCCGCGUGAGUGAUGAAGGUCUUCGGAUCGUAAAGCUCUGUUAUCAGGAAAGAACAUAUGUGUACGUAACUGUGCACAUCUUGACGGUACCUAAUCAGAAAGCCACGGCUAACUACGUG
rnacentral:rRNA from 1 species